UACGUAGGAGGCGAGCGUUUGUUCGGAAUUAUUGGGCGUAAAGGGCGCGUAGGCGGUGCUGUAAGUCUGUAGUGAAAUCUCUGGGCUCAACUCAGAGUCUGCUAUAGAAACUGCAGUGCUGGAGUGUGGGAGAGGUGAGUGGAAUUCCCGGUGUAGCGGUGAAAUGCGUAGAUAUGACAUAGAACACCUAUUGCGAAGGCAGCUUACUACGCCUAUAUUGACGCUGAGGCACGAAAGCGUGGGGAUCAAACAGG
rnacentral:rRNA from 1 species